CCAAAUAGGGUUGUUGGCAGAAGUCUCAGUUAUCUUCCAUGUAGUAUCCCCACCAACUCACUUGAGCUUCUUUGUUUUUUUUUUUUUUUUUCGAGAUGGAGUUUUGCUCUGUCACUCAGGCUGGAGUGUAGUGGUACGAUCUUGGCUCACAGAAACCUCUGCUUCCCAGGUUCAAGCAAUUCUUCUACCUCAGCAUCCCGAGUAGCUGGGACUACAGGUGCGUGCCACCAUGCCUGACUAAUGUUUGUAUUUUUCAGUAGACGGGGUUUCACCAUGAUGGCCAGGCUAGUCUCGAACUUCUGACCUCAGGUGAUCCGCCCGCUUCAGCCUCCCAAAGUGCUGGGUUUACAGGCGUGAGCCACUGCACCCGGCCUCACUUGGUCUUCUGACAGCACAAUCAUGGGUUGAGAGAGCACGUGAAGAAACAUCACAUCUCCUAAGGCUCAGUCUUAGAAGUUCCCACCAUGUUCUGUUUGUUCAAAUAAGCCACAGGGUCAGUUCCAAUUUAAGGGAAAGAGAAAUGAACUCUACCUUUUCCUGGGAAGAGUGGCAAAAAACAAACCUGCAGUCAUCUUUAGUCCUCCACCGCAUCUCUGAAGUUACGCCUCAUCGUUUCAACAGAGACCGCGAACAACAAGAUCUUGUUUUCAUAUUUAAAAACCAAGAAAAAUAUUUCUUCUCACAGCAACUAGUGAAAGAUGAGGUGAGGCCUGAGCGGAGCCUGCGAGUCAUCCUGCUGUCAGAGGCAUGUGAACCAGAGCAACUCCAUCGUGAAUAGCAGCGGGAUAAAUGAGGUUGAAACCUACUGGUCUACAUUCCCAGAGGGUUAAGGCAUUGUAAGUCACAGGAUGAGACAGGAGGUCAGCACAAAAUACAGGUCAUAAAGACCUUGCUGAUAAAACAGGUUGCAGUAAAGAAGCCAGCCAAAACCUACCAAAACCAAAAUGGACACGAGAGUGACCUCUGGUCCUCCUCACUGCUAUACUCACACCAAUGCCAUGACAGUUUACGAAUGCCAUAGCGACAUCAGGAAGUUACCCUAUAUGGUCAAAAAAGGGGAGGCAUAGAUAAGCCACCCCUUAUUAGCAUAGCAUCAAGAAAUAACCAUAAAAUUGGGCAACCAGUCACCCUCGGGGCUGCUCUGUCUUUGGAGUAGCCAUUCUUUUAUUCCUUUACUUUCUUAAUAAAUUUGCUUUUGCUUUGCACUGUGGACUCGCCCUGAAUUCUUUCUUGUGCAAGAUCCAGGAACCCUCUCUGGGGGUUUGGAUCGGGACCCCUUUCCUGUAACACCGCUAUACUGUCCAGGUUCAGGCAUUGAAGUUAUUGGACUGCAGAGGGCACUGCCUCAUUCAGUUAAGAUGAAAAGCGUCGCUAGAGAUCUUCCCAAGACAGUCAGGGACUCUCAUUCCCAGCAAAAUGACAAUUAGGGCAGAUUUUAAUGUGUGACCUUGACCUGCAUCUAUUAUGGAAUGGUCUUCUAAAAAGUUGUGUGUGCUAGAUCUAAAAGACCCAUCUAAAGGAAACAAACUUACGACGAAGCAUUAUGUAUUACAAGCCCCUUGUUCCUGGGGUCAGAGCUGCUGUUCUUUAGGUCUGGUCUUUUUUUUUUUUUUUUGAGACAGGAUCUCACUUUGUCACCCAGGCUGCAGUGCAGUGGCACAAUCUUGGGCUCAAACGAUCCUCCCACCUCAGCCUCCCGAGUAGCUGGGACUAUAGGUCGACACCACCACACCCAGCUAAUUUUUGUAGAGAUGGGGUUUCACCAUAGCAUAUGGACACCAUUCUUAGGCUGGUCUCAAACUCCUGAGCUCAAGCGACCCACCCUCCUCGGCCUCCCAAAGUACUAGGAUUACAGACAUGAGCCACUGCGUCUGGCAGGUCUGGUCUUCAUAUACCAGUGCUUUGAGGGUUGCUGCCAAUGUAAACAAG
rnacentral:lncRNA from 1 species